AACGAACGCUGGCGGCAGGCUUAACACAUGCAAGUCGAGCGCCCCGCAAGGGGAGCGGCAGACGGGUGAGUAACGCGUGGGAAUCUACCCAUCACUACGGAACAACUCCGGGAAACUGGAGCUAAUACCGUAUACGUCCUUCGGGAGAAAGAUUUAUCGGUGAUGGAUGAGCCCGCGUUGGAUUAGCUAGUUGGUGGGGUAAUGGCCUACCAAGGCGACGAUCCAUAGCUGGUCUGAGAGGAUGAUCAGCCGCACUGGGACUGAGACACGGCCCAGACUCCUACGGGAGGCAGCAGUGGGGAAUAUUGGACAAUGGGCGAAAGCCUGAUCCAGCCAUGCCGCGUGAGUGAUGAAGGCCCUAGGGUUGUAAAGCUCUUUCACCGGUGAAGAUAAUGACGGUAACCGGAGAAGAAGCCCCGGCUAACUUCGUGCCAGCCGCCGCAGUAAAAC
rnacentral:rRNA from 1 species